rnacentral:lncRNA from 1 species
GGGAUUUGGAAGGGAAACAUGAUUUUGAAAGCCAUGGCAGAGACGACGAAGUGGAGAGUUUAGAUGACAAGUACGUUAGCGCUUACUUUCAUCAAACUUUUGAUUCUGCAAAUCACUUUGAUGGAGGUGAUGAAGUGAAGAAUUUAGAAGACAAAUAUUCAACGGCUUACUUCCACAAAUCGUUAGAUUCUGGAAACCAUGGCAGGGAUGACAAAGCAAAGAUAUUGGAAGACAAGUAUGCUACUGCGUACUUCCACAAGACUUCUGUUUUUGAAAACCAUGGUGAAGGUGACAAAUUAAAGAGUUUGGAAGAUAAAUAUUCCGCGGCUUACUUUCACAACACACAAUCUUCCAA